AAACUAACAAGGAUUCCCCUAGUAGCGGCGAGCGAAGCGGGAAGAGCUCAAAUUUAUAAUCUGGCACCUUCGGUGUCCGAGUUGUAAUCUCUAGAAGUGUUUUCCGCGUUGGACCGCACACAAGUCUGUUGGAAUACAGCGGCAUAGUGGUGAAACCCCCGUAUAUGGUGCGGACGCCCAGCGCUUUGUGAUACACUUUCAAUGAGUCGAGUUGUUUGGGAAUGCAGCUCAAAUUGGGUGGUAAAUUCCAUCUAAAGCUAAAUAUUGGCGAGAGACCGAUAGCGAACAAGUACCGUGAGGGAAAGAUGAAAAGCACUUUGGAAAGAGAGUUAACAGUACGUGAAAUUGUUGGAAGGGAAACGCUUGAAGUCAGACUUGCUUGCCGGAGCUUGCUUCGGUUUGCAGGCCAGCAUCAGUUUUCCGGGGUGGAUAAUGACGGUUUGAAGGUAGCAGUCUCGGCUGUGUUAUAGCUUUCCGUUGGAUACAUCCUGGGGGACUGAGGAACGCAGCGUGC
rnacentral:rRNA from 1 species